CCCAGCACAAGGUGCACCUGUGUAAUGAGAAUACUGUUUAAUCCGCUUCUUGAUAUGCAGGUGGAUGGACUAUCUUGGCAAAGGAUAAAUGCUCACUAACAGGGAUGUUAACAAAUUUGUGCCCUAAAUUUCAGAAAAAUAAGCUUUUUGUGUGUAUGGAACAUUUCUGGGAUCUUUUAUUUCAGCUUAUGAAACAUGGGACCAACACUUUAUGUGGGGUGGCAGGGUAGCCUAGUGGUUAGAGCGUUGGACUACCAACUGAAAGGGUUGCAAGUUCAAAUCCCUGCGCUGACAAGGUACAAAUCUGUUGUUCUGCCCACUAGGCCGUCAUUGAAAAUAAGAAUUUGUUCUUAACUGACUUGCCUAGUUAAAAAAAAUGUAUGUUUAUAUUUUUGUUCCGUAUAUUUAGUUGAAUUAAGGCUAGUUGCAUAAAACUUUCAACUCUCUCUCUGAUGUGUUGUCAAAUUUAGACUAGGCUUCUUAUUCACUCCCCGAGGUCAGUGUUGAGUUGUAUCGUUAUAUCAUUGCUACGAGAUUCGGCAGACUUUAGGACGGCGAAAAGAAAUGGCUCUGCUGGUGCCCUAGCCUUCACCUAUUCCCGAUCCUAUCCCUCGAGCGACGUGGCCAAUCAGUGUGUGUGUCAGCGACACAUGAAUGGUGAUAUCCAAGAAAUGGAACAAAGAAGCCGCUCGUAUCGAAUUUCCGUCGAUAGAGAAAAUUCGCGGAUGAAACAGCACAGAAGAUUUGUUGAGAUUUGUGAAACCAAAUGAAUAUCUUCGACGCAAAGUCCAACUGUUUUGGUUUGCUCAAGGAGGGAAAUUGGUCUCGUGAGAGCUUUGUCGGUCGCCAGGCGAGGCUGUUGGCUACAUUGGAACGAGAUUCCAGGAGAGCUACUGGGGGUUCCAGGAGAGCUACUGGGGGUUCCAGGAGAGCUACUGGGGGUUCCAGCCCUGCAUGAACACAUGACAUUGUAAAAGAUCAGCUGCUCAACAGGACCUUGAUAAGCUGACCCAAAUCCUGCACAUCCAGUAGUUUUCCAGAUGGAGACAGCACGGCGAACGGCGGCUCAACGCGACGGCACGGCACACGACGGCUGUUGCAUCUCCUGUUAGGCUAUGCUUGCUAGGCAGCAGUAGACUCAGUCUAGGCCUUCCCAGCAGGUUUGACAUGACAGUGGUCCCUGCACAGUGAGUCUUGUUGACCAGAACAAGACAGUGAGUGAACACUACAUCCCAUAGUCCCCCUUAGCACCGGCGUACGCUGAACAAUACACAAGUCCUUCAGUGUUCAGUCAAUCACCGGCCAGCUAGUAAUGACAGUAAUGCAGAGCUGGAAAAUGUUAUUCUUUAACUGAGUCUUUAACAGUCAACACUAGGGUUGCACAUUUUGAGGAAUAUUCAGAGGUGGAAACUUUCCGUGGGAUUUAACGGUAAUAUAUGCACAUUAAUAUCAUUUCAAUGUAGGUGUUUUUUUUGCAUUGGAUAUAUUUACCAUAUCAUAUGGAGACAAACAAACAUUUUACCUUAUCAAAAGUAUACUUAAUUGCAAAUGAAUAAAUCCUUCCAAUAGAAAUAAAACUAUUUAGUUAUGAAUUGAACUUUUAAAUGAGUUGACUCUUCA
rnacentral:lncRNA from 13 species